rnacentral:lncRNA from 1 species
UAAGAAGCCAAUGAAGGAAUACCAUGGAAAAACUAAUGCUACUAAAACUAACCUUUGUUUAUAUGGUCCUAAAAGUAAUUCUUGUUAUGUAGUCCAUAGUGUUGUAGGCAACAUACUCGCACAUUUCAUUUUCAAUGUACCUUUUGAACAAUGAUUCUACGAUGCCAUGUACAACACCCAGUAAAAUGCCUAUCAACGAGAAAGUUGACAUUCAGAAGGACUACGAACACUUGCUCUCUCAUAUAAUUCUAGAUUGUAGAAUGCAUUUGAAACGACUUUUAGCGUGACAGAAGAAGACCAGUCAUUGGAGAGGGAAACUUAAAAAAGAAAAUAGAAGGGAGAAAUUAGAAAAGAAAUUAUAAUAUGACGUCAUUCUCAAGAACAGGUUCGUGGUAAGCUCACUUGAAAAUAAAGGAGUAAGUGUACCAAGUAAUCCAAUCUUCUUCGUUGACAUCCUGAAAUGGUUAUUUAGUAUCCUUUUGUUUAAACUUUGAUGAGAAUAAUUCAGUAGCAAAUGUUUAUAGGAAUUAACAACAUCUAAUGUCCUUCAACUUGGAACUUCAAAUGACGGAAAAGAUUAUCUCGAAGUGGUAAGCUAAUGUUUUAUGACAGAAAUAAUGGACAAACAGAAGAACAUCUGGUUUCAUCCACCUGGAUAUCCUCUUAAGAAGGUCUCGAUAGUUUUUCAUAUGCUAUUUUUUUAAAGAAUAAAACAAGUUGAUUAGCCAUGCCAACAAUCCCAAACCUCAUAGCCCAGUUUAGGACUUUACAAGGAUUAAGUACCUCAAACAUUCCAAUGGAAAAUAUUCUGUCAUUGGAAGCUUCCACAUCAAAUGUGCUAAUAUAUGGAACUAUGAAAUUGACAUUCUGAACUUGAAGAUCCCUAUGAGGCAGAACAAUUAAUGUCAAACAAAUGUCUCUCCACAGGUUUGUUUUGGGAAAGAAUAUAGGGAAAAAAGGAAAUUAAUAUAUGCCUUAAAUGUUUGAAAACAUACAUAAAUAGAUGGAUCUUGUUCCUGUUUCCUAGAGGAGUUGAAAGUGGUAUACUAGAAGUUUCUAAAAAAUUAUCAUACAAAUCAAAUAAGCGUUAAGGAAAUCUUGAUGGAAAACCGAAAGAAACUAAACCAAGUUUUGAUCCUAUAAUAAAUCAUUUAGUUAAUAAUAUUUUAGUGAAGAUUGAGCAUUUCAAAUUUGAAAUGAUUCCAGAAAGAUACACCACAUUUACAAAGGUCACUUAAAUUGUCAAUGUGGUGAGAAUAAAGAUUAAUAUUAAAAGAGAGGGAUUUUUUAAAGGUAUCUAACUAAAUAAAAAUGAAAUAAUUUCAAAAUCUAGUUAACGGUACAAAGAAUAAAAUAUUAGCCAAAAUAGCACCAAACUAUAGGUAUUAGUUAUAAGGAAGCACAGUCAAUCUCAAUCAAUUGAGAACAUUUAAUUGAAUUAUUAAAAGGAAAAAGUCAAAAGGCUACGUUGUUUUCACGCUAAUUAGAAGUUCUAAAGAAGCACAUUCAUGAAUGUAAAAGGAAAAUCUUUAUUCUACAAUGUGGAAAACACAGUUUUCCUGAUUUCUAUAUCAGAAGCAAAUGAAAUGAAAAUACAACUAUAAGGUUUAACAUUUAUAAUUUUGAUAAACUAAAAAAAACAAUGAAAUCAAAUAUGAAAACUUCCAUGAUUCUAGUCAGAUGAUAUUGCACAUAUAAAGGUACAAAUAACAAUUAGAAGAACUCCUAUCUUGAGAAUUAAAACUCAACAACUACAAUAGAGAGUGAGCAAAGAUUUGGCCAAAAAAUAAUAUAAUUCCUCUUCUUGCACCAUACUAUUUCAGACACUCGAAAAUACCUUGGUUCCAAAUACGACAAGUCCUAAUUCAUCAUUCUUGUUGAAUAUCAUCUGCGUAAAUGCAAAAAGAGAUAUUAGAAGUUUCGAUUUAAUACAACAAUGCCAAACUUCAUAAUACAUUGAACAGAGACGUUGAUGGCAAAAAGAAAUUCAAAUGGUAAACUAAUUAAUGGACAUUCUUUUGCGCUUUUGCACUAACAUAAAACAAACCUUUUGGACUUCUUGCAGCACAGCCUGCUUUGUCAGACCAACAUUAAGCAUCAAAAGUAAACCCUCCUAUUAAGUAAAAAAAAUACUAUCGGGAAAGGGGGGUAGGGGACUACACCAUAGAAAAACUCCACCUAAUUUUUCUAAAAAC